ensembl:lncRNA
UUUUGAAGAUCCCUAUGUAGUUAAGGACUUCUGAAGGUCGCCAACACUGGAAGGCUUUCAUCCACUAUGAACAUUCCGUUAAUGACGCUGAGUUGCAACAGGAGCUGGGAGGGGGCAGAACUAGGAUGACUGACCCCAGAUAACCAAAUUGAUAUCCCAUAGUAUAUGACAUCAUGUGGAACAACCAAAAUGGGAUUAAAAAGGAGGAAGGGGGGCACUUGAAGUGAUGCCAUUCUUCUUACCAAGAAGUCAUUAGCUGUGAUGAGUCCCUCUCUUUCUGGAAGUGACUGAAUAUCUGUCUGCUGAUGGGAAGCAGUGAAUGAAUUCCUUGUUUUGUUUUGUUUGCACAUGCAGCUUUUGCUUUGUCUAGUAAACUGUCUUUAUUUCAACCUAUGAGCUCUCAUGCUUGUACCUUUCUGAUUCUUUCCCCCAUCCGAUUUGAGGAGAGUGAGCAAGUGGCUGUGUGGUGCCGAGAUGCCUCCUGGGUUUAAACCAUGAAAGUCCUUUUCAUCAACCAAUGUGAGACUCAAAGAGUUUGAAAUAAUGACAGAUCUGAUUGAAGUGUGGAGCAUGCCAACCCUGAUUUAUAGGUGUAAUAGCUUUUCAGUUGCUAACUGUAGGCUCCUGUGUUUGUAAGAGGGCUCACUUUCGUUAACGUGUCUUAGAAUCCAGUGCUUAUUAGUGGUUGCUGUUUCUUCUGCUAUUUGCUUUACUCCUUAUUGUCUCACUUUGCUGUAUCUUGGAACAUUUUGGUAACAGCUACGGCCAUGCUCAUGGGCACAGAGUGACUGUGACCUGUGAAUGAGUCCACAUGGGAGCAUGUACACCCUGAAGCAUCUCUGGCUGUGGCUAAGUCUGCUCAAGAGCAAGUGCACCUGAAAGAAUCUGACUCUAGAGAAAUUUGUGUUGCAGCAGGUGUACCUUACAGUGUCCCUGUGGAUUAGGUCAUGCAAGAAUAUCUUGAAACAUCUAUGGCCAUAGAUAAGAUCACAAAAGAGCAGGUGUCUGAAGGAACUUUAGUCAAUGGAAAAUGAUGCAACAGGGCAGGUACACCUCAAAGAGUCUGUGGCUGUGAUUUAAAAGUAGUUCUACUGCUUUCCUGACUUCAUUUUAUAUGCAUAUUUUAAAACCUUCUCAUAUUUUCUUAUUCUGUUGCUACUUAUUUUCAAGGUGACACUGGAUAUGUCGUGUGUGCAUGUGUGUGAUAAAGACUCUCAUUGAACUUUGUGAAUGUUUUCUGCUGACAUAAUACCAACUACAGAGUCACGAGGGUUUUUAAACCCUUUCAAACAUCCUGAAACACUGCAAUUAUUGGGAUUAUUUGCUUCUGGCUAUGUCGUUGAAACACUUGCUUUUUCACUUACUAUUUAAAACUAAUAAAAAUACAUCUAGUAGAUGUGGGGUGACACUUUCUGUGACCAUGCUAUGAGCUGUAGUACACAAAUAAGCCCUAGAAGAGAGUAAGUGAUGAGUCUUUAUGAACUCAAUAAAUUCCUGCUGUACAUAAGUCUUUGAAUGUCAGCAGAAUUGUUAAAUCUUAAUGAGCAAUUAAUUAAAGCAAUAUUCAUAU